CCAACGCUGCGCGGGUUUCCAGGCAAGGCACCGACUUCGCCACGCCUUGCCUCUCCUGAGAAAUCGCCGGGUCCCACGCAACUCUCCUCUCUUCGUCCGCUAGCAGCCCCAGCGUCGGACAUUUCUGCUCGCUCACCUCGUUCUCCUCACUCACCAGUCUCAUGGCUGGUUUCCUUUUCUUCAGCCUCUCCCCUCGAGACCACCCUCCACCCCCAACCCACAUCUGAUCAAGACACCCCCUUACCAAAUAAACAUCACUGCCCGCCCAGCGGCAAGGCAAGGUCACAGCAGCUAUCACAACUGUGGCCUCCCUGCCGGCUUUGCCUCCCGGCAGCCCUGUCUCCCUGAGACCCAGCCUCCUCAUUGGGCUUGCGCCCUUGCAAUUUCCUUUGCCAGGAAGCACCCCCCUUUGUUUAUGCCCGGAGACCCUCCGUAAAUAUCACAUUGGCCAAGCCUUCCCCUGCCCCCACCCCAGACUUAGUCUUCCCUGGACACCCUCAGCAACCGGACAUCCCCUUGUCCAACCAGAGUUGCCACACUGCCGUCACCGUCCCUACACACAUCUGCCUCCCCUACCAGACUCCCAGCCUCCUGAGGGUGCCCAGAACACACAGGCCUGGCGCACAGCAGGCAUCGGCAAAUAAAGAUCAUAAACGUUGGAGAGAUGCUGGGUGUGCUGAGGGGCUGGAUUGCUCACUUGAGAAGGCUUCUCACAGGACAGACUCGACAGGCUUGGAGUGAUUCCGUGCGGGGAGAGGAUCUCGGGCAAGCACCAGAGUGCUCUAUUAAUUUAACAAUCAUUGAACAACUUCUGUUGUCAGGCCUCAUGCCGGCACAGGGGACCUCGGUCGGCACUCAAGUUCCUUCCCCUGUAGUACAGAAGGAAGACCACAUAGGCGGUGCCAAUACAGAGUGCCAAGUGUCACGCGGCGAGCACAAGCAGAUGUGGCAGUGCAGAGGAGGAGCAGCUCAAGACUUGAGGGGGUGUCAGGCUUCCCAAAGAGGCCCACCACCCAACCCAAGACCAGAGCGGGGCAGAGAAGGGGUCAUGGGGCAAUGGAGAGAGGAGGCUGAGAGUCGAGCAGGCUUCGUCACGAAGGGCUUGCAUACCACAUGAAGGAGCUGGACUCCAUCCUGAGGGUGUUGGGGAGCCACUGAUGGCUUCCGAGGAGCCGGGGAGUGACGUGAGCUAGUCUUGCAGGCCACUGCUGGGCAAGGCCUCAGCUCUGACCCCCUCCUCUGAGAUGCCUCCUCUGAGCCCCCUGACAGGCGGGGCCCCUCUUCUGUGCUCCCUCAGCAGCCUUGUCACCUCCUCUUUUGUGCAGGGUUGAAUGCCUCUGCCAGACUGAGCUUUUUGAGAGAUGAGACCAGGUCUUAAUCUUCUCUGUCCCAAGACCAAGUGCUGAAUGAAUGGAUUUUUCCUUUUUUCUCUAAAUUUCAACAGCUCUUACUCUCAGCUCCACAUCCUUCCAUACCUGGGGCCUGUGCUGCAAACGGCUUUUAAUUGGGAAAGAGGAGGCCCAGUUCCAAUCCCAGCUCCACCAUUUGCUGGAACAAGUUGCUUAACUGUUCUGAAACCUCAGUUUCCCCAUUGUUAAGAUGAGUUACCACCAUGAACUGUCUGUAAGUCUCCACAGGCAUGCAUGAGUCUUGUUUUCCUGAACAGACUGUAAAUUCCAUGGUCCAGGCAGGGACCAAGGGCUUUCCCCAGCACCUUGCUCAGUCUGAGCUUACAACGAAUACUACGAUCAGUCCUGUUGGUUGGUAGACAACAGAGUACACAGGAAGGAACACUUACGGUGAAGUUGGAAGUCUUGUUCUGCCACUUCCAGUGUGACCUUGAACAAGGUUCUUCCCCUCUCUGAGUCUUCUUUGCCUUACCUGGCAGACCUCACAGGGCCAUUGGAAACCACAGAGGUGAAAGUGCUUUGUGAAUGAAAGAGAUACUAUAGUAGACAAUUAAUUGCACAUUAAUUAAAAAAAAAACCAGGGACUUCACUGGUGGCUCAGUGGUUGAGAGUCCGCCUGCGGAUGCAGGGGAUGCGGGUUCGUGCCCCGGUCCGGGAAGAUCCCACAUGCCGCGGAGCGGCUGGGCGCGUGAGCCAUGGCCGCUGAGCCUGCGCGUCCGGAGCCUGUGCUCCGCAACGGGAGAGGCCACAACAGUGAGAGGCCCAUGUACCACAAAAGAAAAAAACCCAAAAAACCAAACCAUGUAGUAGUAUAGAUGAGGUGUGUCUCGUACUUGGUGGACACACCCAAGGUAUCUGCUGACUGCCUCUGAGAUGCUGGGAUGCUGCUCUUCCAGGUGCAGACUAGGCUGGAACAGAGGUGCUUGGUCUUGCUCGGGUCAGCCCUGAGACUCAAGACAGACCAGGAGGGAAGGGUUGAUAGGGAGGGAGCAGGCAUCCAAUCCUUUGCCCCCCUCCCAUCCCAGAUUUCUCGGACUAGCAUUGCUUCCUUGUCUUAGGUUUUGAGGGGACCUGGCAUGACAAGGUCUCAGGAGUCCCAGUGGCUUUGGCAUUGUAGCUACUGAUACCCUUGGUGAAUGAAGCUGGCCUAUGGGAGCAGUUAGCUCCACCGUGCUGCCUGAUAAACUCCCAGCCCCAAAUUCCAAGUCCGGCCCCCUCUCAGCCUCUGACAUACUGGUGGCAGUAUUUAUGGGAAAGGACCAUGAUUUGUCUUAGCUCUUGCCCAGACCAGAAGGGCCUGGGGCUGUACAGAGGGGCUGUAUGGAGGCAGAGUCUCAGCUUCCUCACCUUGAAAAUGAGUGGGGAUUAAAUGAGAAAACACCUUGGAACUUGUACAUUUUACUCACGUGCAGGAUUGCUAUUUGUGGGUAGUGUGUUUACAACCAGUGGGGCCUCCCUGUUUCAGAGAACGCUGGGGCUCUUUCUCCAAAAGAAAGUUUCACAGACAGUGUAUGUGUAAGGAGUGCACGUUUGGUCUUAGAGCGAAAACGGACACAGAGAGACUGUGAAAAUGGCCAGGGCCAGCUGAUUCCCUGCUGCUGAGAGAGGCUGAGGGAAGGGAGGAGGCCUGGGCAGGGCCUACUCCUGCACGGGGAGGCCGUAGCUGCCCAGCCAGACUGGCCAUCCGAGCUCCCUCAUUGCCCGCACAAACCUCCUACCCCACAAACCUCCUGCUGCUGAGAUUAUGGCCCCCUUUAAGAAGCACCAGAUUUAGAAUCAAACAGGAGGGAUUGGGCUUCCCUGGUGGCGCAGUGGUUGAGAGCCCUCCUGCCGAUGCAUGGGACGCGGGUUCGUGCCCCGGUCCAGGAAGAUCCCACAUGCCGCGGAGCGGCUGGGCCCGUGAGCCAUGGCCGCUGAGCCUGCGCGUCCGGAGCUUGUGCUCCACAACAGGAGAGGCCACAACAGUGAGAGGCCCGCGUACCGAAAAUAAAUAAAUAAAUAAAUAAAACAGGAGGGAUUGAUUCUCCUCACCUAAUGUGUGACUUUGAGCAAAUACCUCCAUUUCUCAGGACCUCAGUUCCCUCAUUCAUGAAACGGGGAGAAUUAUAGCACCAUCUCUUAAGGUUGUCAGGAUCAGAAGAGAGAACGUGGUGGGAGUGCCAUGUGAAUUAUUUAGCGCUGUCCAUAUUCAUUUUCUGUUGCUCAUCUCUUCCCCUGUUAACACUUGGGGCACCUCAGCCACAGCCCUGUCUUUCUGAGGGAGUGAGCGUGGCCUCCAGGACAAAGGAGCCUGAGUCUGCAGCGGGCCCUUUGUGCUUCCUUCCCUUCAGGUGGCCUCUCUCCCCCUGGGCCACUCCUGGGGGUGAGGGGGUUACCCCUUCCCAGUGUUUUUGUUCCUGUGGGGCUCACUCCAAAGUAUUAAAAGUAGCUUUAUAAUUAAAAAAAAAAAAGGAGGGCUCAUUUAUGAUAAAGGUCUCUAUGACAAGGGCUCAUCUCUCAGAUGGGGGAAGGGCACAUACCCCUUGGACCCUGGGCCAUGGGAGUGCCAGGAGGGUCAGCAUAUGGGCUAGAGGGAGGUCUGUGCUGUAGGGCAAGGGGUGUAGUCAUAGAGGGGUGGAAGCUAUGGUCGUGCUGGUUCACUCACUUUGCUAUUGAACUUCCCCAGGCGCUCAUCUUCAGCACCUUUGUCUUACCUCCUGGGUCUCCUCCAUCUACCAAUAUGAAACCAUGUUGGGAGGGCGCAGCUCUGGGAUGAGGUCUAGGGGAACAGGAGCUACUGGGUCCCUGGGAACCUCUUUUGGGACUCUUUGACCUUGACAACCCCUUGUCCCUCUCCCCUGGGCCCCAGGUCAGCACACCAGUUUCUUCCUGACCAAAGAGCAGAGCCACGCCCAGAUGAAUGAAUUUUCCUGGAAGGAUGUUGCCAGUGCCUUGUCCGUGGCCAACAUGAUCCUGGGGCUCUUAUCCAUCUUCUGCAGUUUCUGCAAGAAGUCCCCCUGUGCCUCCUGGAUGCUUCUGGUCAGCUUUCUAUUAGACAUGGCUAUCGGGGCAAUGACGAGACACCUCAACAUCUGCUCCACAUCAGGAGCCAAGCUGAAUGACUUUGCUGUCUUCACCACCUUUGGCCUGGCCUCAGCCCUGCUUCUAGGCAUGGAUGGGCCUCUGAAUGGCUUCCUGGCCAUCAUCUAUGUGUUGGCUAUUUCAGUCCGCCUCUGUUUCUAUUCAGCUGGCGUUCCCUUCACAUACAAGGGUCUACCCUGCCCCUAUGCUUCCUGUGUUUUGGCCUCCACCUCCCUCCUGACCAAAGGCAACACAUUCAUUCUCUCUUGCAUGGCCACAUUCAUGAUUCUAUUCAUGAUGGACGAGAGCUACUACCCACAUGACGAAAUCCUGGAGUCUGAGAACUGGAAAAAAAUGGUCUAUCUGGGAGGUCCUACCACAAAAGCUCUGCGCCAGGAGUCAUCUGGAGGCUAUCUGGUACCGGUCGGGGUUCUGACACUUUGGCAUGUGACUCUGGAAUCUCAGUGAUCUCCUCUGGAAACCUGGGAUAACACCUGUUUUGGCUGGAUUGGCUGGAGGCAGGUGGAUCCAUGACUUGGCUUCUGUAUACUUCUUAGUCAGCUCCGACCUGGAUGGUACAGAAGAAGGCGGAUCUAAAAACAGAAAAAGAAUGAACGAACGAACUUCCAUUCACUAAUGCCCUACCUCAGCCCCUUCCUUUGGCAGGGGAGGCAGACGGGCCCGGGGAAAAGGGCGCUGCAUUGGAGGAGUAAGACCUGAGUCCCACUGCCACCACCUCGCUGGGUGUCUCUAGGCAAAUCUCCUCCCCACUCUGAGCUUUAGUUUUCCCCGUCUGCACAAUGGGACAACAGUCCAUCCCCUGGCCCCCUCCCACGAGCUGCCGUGUGAGCACCAAAUGCGAAGAGCCCUGUGAACGGUUUCCUACACUGUAGCGCGCUGCAUCCAGCGUGGGACUGCCAUAAUUACGAGGACACCGCGACCCAGAGGGACCGACCGGCCGAAGUCUCGAAGCGGGUGGGCGGGGAGCCCAAGACUCGCGCGGCCUCCAGCCUCCGGACCAGGGCUUUCCCACCUCUGCCCUCCCAGAGGGUUACGGCCCGCUCGGCCCGAGGGGCCCGCCCUCCGCCACCGCCCCGCCCGGGCCCAAGCCCGGCCCCAGGAGAGCUCCCCUCCCGCCGCCGCCCACUCCCGGUCCAAAACGGCGGCUGGAGGCGGGCGGCGCUCGGGAGUCGGGGCCUUCCCUCCCGGGUCUCGGGACUCGGACAAGGGCCCAAGGGGGAACCCCCGCCUUCCCCUACCUCCCAGCCUGCAGUACGAGCCUGCCGCGCCUCGGACUGGGCGGGGCUGGGAGGUGGAGGGCGGGCAGGAGCGUCGAGGCCCCGCCCACAGGAAGGGCCGCGCGUGCGCGGAGAGCGUGUCUGGACGCGCCGCAUCGGUGCUGGUGCUGGAGCUGGA